UUCCAGACUCCUACGGGAGGCAGCAGUGGGGAAUAUUGCACAAUGGGGGAAACCCUGAUGCAGCAACGCCGCGUGAGUGAAGAAGUAUUUCGGUAUGUAAAGCUCUCUCAGCAGGGAAGAAGAAAGACGGUACCUGACUAAGGAGCCCCGGCUAACUACGUGCCAGCAGCCGCGGUAAUACGUAGGGGGCAAGCGUUAUCCGGAUUUACUGGGGGUAAAGGGGGCGCAGACGGCAGCGCAAGCCAGGAGUGAAAGCCCGGGGCCCAACCCCGGGACUGCUCUUGGAACUGCGCGGCUGGAGUGCAGGAGGGGCAGGCGGAAUUCCUGGUGUAGCGGUGAAGUGCGUAGAUAUCAGGAGGAACACCGGUGGCGAAGGCGGCCUGCUGGACUGCGACUGACGUUGAGGCCCGAAAGCGUGGGGAGCAAACAGGAUUAGAUACCCCUGUA
rnacentral:rRNA from 1 species